UGGCUCAGAUGGAAAGCGUCUGUCUGCAAUGCAGGAGACCCAGGUUCGAUCCCUGG
rnacentral:tRNA from 1 species